UUCUUGUUGCUUUUCAGAGUUAAUAUCUAAAGAGGUUGGGGGGCGUUGAUGCUGCAGAUCUUGUCAAGAAAUCAAUGGCUCUACACUUUCUUCAACUCAUUUGACACAACAACAACCAAACUGGAUGAAUACAUUUCUAAAUAUUUGAAGUAUGCACCAGAGAGGAUGGGACGUGGAGGCCGAAAGAAAUAUGGAAGAUUCCCUGCUCAGUGUUGCCCAUUUUGGCGUUUCCAACAUAAAACUGUUUGAAUGUUGCAGCUCAUAAUAAAUUUGGGUUUUGCACUACAUACCAUCCUUUAUUAACUGUUUAAAUCUGAUUUGUUGAACCCAAUUAUACAUUUAUCGUUAUGAUUUUCCAGAUCUGUAUAUAAAUAAUUUUGGUACUUCAGUUUUAAAUACUUCAAAAGAUUUUUUUAUUAAGUGCUUUAAAAGAUAAGGGCUUCAAAGCCUAGAUUUCUUCAACUGCUAAAAGCAGAGGCAGAAAUGGUUAAGAUUUCCCUUCGAGGUUCAAUGUUGCCAAAUGUUUGGGCCAUUUUUUAUUAUUAUCAUCUAAGAUAAUAAAUCAGUUUAUAACAUCAUGAAA